rnacentral:rRNA from 1 species
UACGAAGGGGGCUAGCGUUGCUCGGAAUCACUGGGCGUAAAGGGUGCGUAGGCGGGUUUUUAAGUCAGAGGUGAAAUCCUGGAGCUCAACUCCAGAACUGCCUUUGAUACUGAAAGUCUUGAGUAUGGGAGAGGUGAGUGGAACUGCGAGUGUAGAGGUGAAAUUCGUAGAUAUUCGCAAGAACACCAGUGGCGAAGGCGGCUCACUGGCCCAUUACUGACGCUGAGGCGCGAAAGCGUGGGGAGCAAACAGGG